rnacentral:rRNA from 1 species
UACGUAGGGUGCAAGCGUUAUCCGGAAUUAUUGGGCGUAAAGAGCUCGUAGGCGGUUUGUCGCGUCUGCUGUGAAAACUGGAGGCUCAACCUCCAGCCUGCAGUGGGUACGGGUAGACUAGAGUGCGGUAGGGGGAGAUUGGAAUUCCUGGUGUAGCGGUGGAAUGCGCAGAUAUCAGGAGGAACACCAAUGGCGAAGGCAGAUCUCUGGGCCGUAACUGACGCUGAGGAGCGAAAGCAUGGGGAGCGAACGGG